rnacentral:rRNA from 1 species
GUGAACGCUGGCGGUAGGCCUAACACAUGCAAGUCGAACGGCAGCACAGUAAGAGCUUGCUCUUACGGGUGGCGAGUGGCGGACGGGUGAGGAAUACAUCGGAAUCUACUUUUUCGUGGGGGAUAACGUAGGGAAACUUACGCUAAUACCGCAUACGACCUACGGGUGAAAGCAGGGGAUCUUCGGACCUUGCGCGAUUGAAUGAGCCGAUGUCGGAUUAGCUAGUUGGCGGGGUAAAGGCCCACCAAGGCGACGAUCCGUAGCUGGUCUGAGAGGAUGAUCAGCCACACUGGAACUGAGACACGGUCCAGACUCCUACGGGAGGCAGCAGUGGGGAAUAUUGGACAAUGGGCGCAAGCCUGAUCCAGCCAUACCGCGAGGGUGAAGAAGGCCUUCGGGUUGUAAAGCCCUUUUGUUGGGAAAGAAAAGCAGCAGGUUAAUACCCCGCUGUUCUGACGGUACCCAAAGAAUAAGCACCGGCUAACUUCGUG